GAGUUUGAUCGUGGCUCAGGAUGAACGCUGGCGGCGUGCCUAAUACAUGCAAGUCGAGCGAACAGACGAGGAGCUUGCUCCUCUGACGCUAGCGGCGGACGGGUGAGUAACACGUGGAUAACCUACCUAUAAGACUGGGAUAACUUCGGGAAACCGGAGCUAAUACCGAAUAAUAUAUUGAACCGCAUGGUUCAAUAGUGAAAAACGGUUUUGCUGUCACUUAUAGAUGGAUCCGCGCCGCAUUAGCUAGUUGGUAGGGUAACGGCUUACCAAGGCGACGAUGCGUAGCCGACCUGAGAGGGUGAUCGGCCACACUGGAACUGAGACACGGUCCAGACUCCUACGGGAGGCAGCAGUAGGGAAUCUUCCGCAAUGGGCGAAAGCCUGACGGAGCAACGCCGCGUGAGUGAUGAAGGUCUUCGGAUCGUAAAACUCUGUUAUUAGGGAAGAACAAAUGUGUAAGUAACUAUGCACGUCUUGACGGUACCUAAUCAGAAAGCCACGGCUAACUACGU
rnacentral:rRNA from 1 species